CCCUUAGAUGUUCUGGGCCGCACACGCGCUACACUGAAGGAGGCAGCGUGUACUCCUGGAUCGAAAGAUUUGGGUAACCCGCGAAUCUCCUUCGCGCUAGGGAUUGAGGUUUGCAAUUAUCCUUCAUGAACGAGGAAUUCCCAGUAAGUGCAAGUCAUAAGCUUGCGCUGACUACGUCCCUGCCCUUUGUACACACCGCCCGUCGCUACUACCGAUUGAAUGAUUUAGUGAGGACUUCGGACUGGGACCGAUGCGGCUUUCGGGCUGCGUCGGUAUUCUGGAAAGAUGUCCAAACUGUAUCAUUUAGAGGAAGUAAAANUCGUANCA
rnacentral:rRNA from 1 species